CUAGAAAUCAAUAGGGGUCUCCCUUCACAGGUGCAAAUCCUGUCAACUGUGGUGAAAGCUGCACUUUUCUCUCCCCACUUCCAGGCUGUCCUUUUUUUUCUGAGGGUAGGAAGACCCUUCAAGGGGAUCUGGACACACUGGAUCACUGGGCUGAGGCCAAUGGGAUGAAGUUCAACAAGACCAAGUAUAACUUGUUACAACAAUCCCAUGCAAUGCUACAGACUUGGGACAGAGUGGUUGAAAGACUGUGUGGAAGAAAUGGACCUAGGGGUGUUGUUUGAAACUUGGCUGAACAUGAGCCAGCAGUGUGCCCAUGCAACCACAAAGGCCAGUGGCAUCCUGACCUGCAUAAGCUCUCCUCUGGAUGUGCUCCAACAAGCCUAUGUCUCUCCUGUACUGAGGACUCCGUAUCUGGAUUUAGAACUCCAGCUGAGGUCUCACCAGCACAGAGUAGAGGGACAGAAUCAUCUCCCUCAACCUUCUUGUUUUGAUGCAGUUUCCUACAGAUGGUAUUGAUCUAUGAAAAAGGAGAAACUGGAAAAAGAAAUCCAAACUUGGUAGCAGAAGAAAGACAUAUAUAUGUAUAAUGUCAUGGUUUUAUGGUUUGUUAAUGGUAUUCCACAUUAGAACAUCAUGUAGUAUACUGGGAGCUAAUGAGUUAAUUCUACAGUUCCAUGGAUUGUUGCUAUUUCUGGACAUGUACAUAUAUAAUGAAUAUAAAAUUUGGAAAAUAGUUGUUCAUUUUGUCAGAAAAUAAUGAUGUAUGAAACUUUUGCUCAUUUUUAAUGGUUUAUAAGAAAUUGAACCUUCAAAAAUAUUUCAAUUAAUGUUAAAAUGACAACUAUUCAUGUUGUUAUAAGCGCUUCAGGUUAAACUGUUUGAAUCAUUAAGUAAGGAGGCUACAAUGAUUUUUAAGAAUGCUUGUGGCAGCGGGGGAAGAAAUAGUUAGACCUAGAGACUUUAAGGAUUAUAACAAGGAAAACUGCACAAAGAAGAAAAGCAAGUAAGUAAAAGAAGAAAGAAAUGCAUAGGAAAUAACAGAGAACUAAGACUAAGUUUAUUCAGAUAUGCUAGACUGUUCAGUAAAUACAAAGACAGGACUCAAUACAAAAUAGUAGUAAAUUGCCAAGUACAGUGAAAAAAAAAAAAAAAAAAAAGUAAUCCUGCAGUAAUUUGGAGCAAAUUUCUAUAUGAGCUCUAGAGUAGGUGACUUCUUGUUACAGUAAUUAUUGAAUACAGCUCUUAUUACCAAAAUGAAGAAAAAUAUAUCUGUUAGCUGAUUUUAAAUGGAUUCUCAGGUAUGCAAACUUACACAAGAAAAAGAAAACAACAUCAUAAACUAUUUAAUAUGGAAAAAUAACUUUUCAUUAUCAAUAGCAUCCUGAACAUCCACUUGUCAACAAAGAGUAGUUGAAGUAAAUGGCAGCAAUGUGGAAGAUACAUUAUUUGUUUGCCAGUCUCAUAUUAGAUAUUAAAUGUAAUAACAACGUUACCAUGUUUCUCACUGCAUUUGAAUAACAAAUCCAGAUAUGGCUGGAUUUCUGUGGGAGGACGGUGUCUGCUUCUCUCAUCCACUUACUACUCUGUUACUUUCCUAACUUCAAAUAAAUUUAUUUUAUCUAAUUAUUGAGUGUCUUUGUAAGAGAAAACCAUGUUACCUCAGUGUGGUAGAAACAGCGUGUUACCUCAGUGUGGAAGAAACAUACAAAUGGUACAAAUUGUACAAAAUUGUACAAAAAGUUGAAUAAAAUUGGGAAAUAAUUAGGUAGGGGGAAAAAAAGCAAAACCAAGUAAACAACAACAACAAAAAAGGAACAAAUAACUACUUGAGAUAACUGUACUG
rnacentral:lncRNA from 1 species